rnacentral:rRNA from 1 species
CAGGGAAUCUUCCACAAUGGGCGAAAGCCUGAUGGAGCGACGCCGCGUGAGGGAUGAAGGCUCUAGGGUCGUAAACCUCUUUUCUUAGGGAAGAGCAAGGACGGUACCUAAGGAAUAAGUGACGGCUAACUACGUGCCAGCAGCCGCGGUAAUACGUAGGUCACAAACGUUGUCCGGAAUUAUUGGGCGUAAAGGGUCCGUAGGCGGUUCGGUAAGUCUCCUGUGAAAUCUUCAGGCUCAACUUGAAGAGGUCGGGGGAUACUGCUGAACUUGAGACUGAUAGAGGCAAGUGGAAUUCCCGGUGUAGUGGUGAAAUGCGUAGAUAUCGGGAGGAACACCAAUGGCGAAAGCGGCUUGCUGGGUCAGUUCUGACGCUGAGGGACGAAAGCGUGGGUAGCAAACCGG